rnacentral:misc_RNA from 1 species
GUUCCCUUUUGUAUCCUUCACAUUUUCUGCAAAUUUCACUCUCUUCUUCUUCUUCGUCUUCUUAUUUCUGUCCCUUUUCUUUCCCUCUGCACCCAAGAAACCAGAGCAAUAAAUCUCUGAACAUAAGCAAGAACGAAGAUUUUGAGCUGAAGAUUGAGAAUCUUGAUUCUUGAAGAGUUCAGGGAAGGUUUUAUGCUUAGAAAAAGCAAGAAAAACUACAGAGCUGGAAACCACCAUGGCAGUGGCUAAGACAACAGCUUGAGAACUCAAGCUAAGUAUAGAAGACAUGUCUUGGAAGUGAAGUAGAAGAGGCAAGAUGAACAGGGGAGAGAAAUUGUUUCGGUUGGUUCUUGGUUAAAUUGUGC